CUACGGCCACGACAGUUUACAGAUACGCGAUUUUGUGUCUUUUUUAGAGUACAACUCUAAAAUGUAUGACUGUGACAGUUUACAGACACGGCGCUUGUUUUCACAAUAGCUCUGUUACACACACGACAUGCGAAUUACGACCACGAAGUGUGGUGUGCGAAACGACUGUCAAAAAUACGUCAUCAAGGUCACAGGCAUUACUAUCCGAGGGAAGAUGAAUCGAUUCAACGAAGUGCGCAUGCGCCCCACCAAAGUUUUAAACCACUGGCGCCGAAAUGGCGGAUCAGCAACCAAGUGCUCACACCUCGUCUCAGGAAACUUGUGUUGGGGAGGAUUCAGUGUCUGUUGAGGCACAUGUGAAUGUGUUAUAAAGUGAGUAUCAGAAACACAUCCAGACCCCUCGACGGUCAAAGACCACACGGCAGGAACAUGCUCCUGGAGACGCUGAGAAAGCACGGAAGGAAUGUCUGUGGAGGAUGUACUCAAAAAAUACACAUACUUAAGGACACCUGCUGGAGGGCACCCGGCUACACCUUUCCUACCAUACACCUGAUGGAUACUGACUGUAAAAUGUCAGUCAUAGUUCGAGGGCUCAGUGUGGUGACAGAAGAUGGAACAGAUGUGUGCCAGUGCACCAGUCUUGAUGAAGCUUCAUAACAGCCUUCUGUGUGUAUUCUGGUUUCAACAUUGCAUAUCCACCACACCUGAGAAAGACACUGACUUUCCUUCAGAGGCACAUUCUCAACAUUAGAAGAUGGAGACAAGCACUGUAUGGUUGACUGGAAGUCUGUCAGUCCAGAUGUGAGGAGGACACACAGAGUGGAGCUGGAGCUCAGCAGAUGUGUGAUGCUGUAGAUACUGUGGUCUUGGAAAGAAGGGCAUCUUCACAGCUUUCUAUUCAGACAAAGAGUUUGCUGGAUUCUGUUCUAUGGACUGCUACUACAGAAUGAAUUAAUUAAUGAGUGGUUUAUCUAUCUAUCUAUCUAUCUAUCAAUCUAUCUAUCUUUUUACUUGAAUUGGUGACUGAAACUGAAAGCUAAAUAAAUAUUUUAGUGGAUAAA